UACGUAGGGGGCAAGCGUUGUCCGGAUUUAUUGGGCGUAAAGAGCGUGUAGGCGGUUAGGUAGGUCCGUUGUGAAAACUCGAGGCUCAACCUCGAGACGCCGAUGGAAACCAUCUAACUAGAGUCCGGAAGAGGAGAGUGGAAUUCCUGGUGUAGCGGUGAAAUGCGCAGAUAUCAGGAAGAACACCCGUGGCUAAGGCGGCUCUCUAGUACGGUACUGACGCUGAGGCGCGAAAGCGUGGGGAGCAAACAGG
rnacentral:rRNA from 1 species